rnacentral:rRNA from 1 species
UACGAGAGGCCCAAACGUUAUUCGGAUUUACUGGGCUUAAAGAGUUCGUAGGCGGUCCAGAAAGUUGGGUGUGAAAGCCCUCGGCUCAACCGAGGAAUUGCGCUCAAAACUACUGGACUUGAGGGAGAUAGAGGUGAGCGGAACUGAUGGUGGAGCGGUGAAAUGCGUUGAUAUCAUCAGGAACACCGGAGGCGAAGGCGGCUCACUGGGUCUUUUCUGACGCUGAGGAACGAAAGCUAGGGGAGCAAACGGG